rnacentral:sRNA from 1 species
GCGAUGAGCUGAUUUGCGUAAGCCGAGAGACAACGUACGAUAUGCAGAUGUGAACUGCAUGUUCUUUCGCCGCAAAUUUCGAAAAGAAAGGCAUCCGUAUCUCAUACGGAUGCC